UACGUUCCCGGGCCUUGUACACACCGCCCGUCACGCCAUAGGAGCCGAGGACCGAACCGGUGGGCCAACCCGCAAGGGGCGAGCCGUCUAAGGUCGAAUUCGGUGACUGGGGCG
rnacentral:rRNA from 1 species